rnacentral:rRNA from 1 species
GACGAACGCUGGCGGCGUGCUUAACACAUGCAAGUCGAACGGAAAGGCCCUGCUUUUGUGGGGUGCUCGAGUGGCGAACGGGUGAGUAACACGUGAGUAACCUGCCCUUGACUUUGGGAUAACUUCAGGAAACUGGGGCUAAUACCGGAUAGGAGCUCCUGCUGCAUGGUGGGGGUUGGAAAGUUUCGGCGGUUGGGGAUGGACUCGCGGCUUAUCAGCUUGUUGGUGGGGUAGUGGCUUACCAAGGCUUUGACGGGUAGCCGGCCUGAGAGGGUGACCGGCCACAAUGGGACUGAGAUACGGCCCAGACUGCUACGGGAGGCAGCAGUGGGGAAUAUUGCACAAUGGGCGGAAGCCUGAUGCAGCAACGCCGCGUGCGGGAUGACGGCCUUCGGGUUGUAAACCGCUGUCGCCUGUGACGAAGCGUGAGUGACGGUAAUGGGUAAAGAAGCACCGGCUAACUACGUG